rnacentral:tRNA from 1 species
GGUCCGGUAGCUCAGCUGGAUAGAGCACUCGCCUUCUAAGCGAGUUGUCGCGAGUUCGAACCUCGCCCGGAUCA